GAUGAACGCUGGCGGCGUGCCUAAUACAUGCAAGUCGAGCGAACAGAUGAGGAGCUUGCUCCUCUGACGUUAGCGGCGGACGGGUGAGUAACACGUGGAUAACCUACCUAUAAGACUGGGAUAACUUCGGGAAACCGGAGCUAAUCCCGGAUAAUAUAUUGAACCGCAUGGUUCAAUAGUGAAAGACGGUUUUGCUGUCACCUAUAGAUGGAUCCGCGCCGCAUUAGCUAGUUGGUAAGGUAACGGCUUACCAAGGCAACGAUGCGUAGCCGACCUGAGAGGGUGAUAGGCCACACUGGAAGUGAGACACGGUCCAGACUCCUACGGGAGGCAGCAGUAGGGAAUCUUCCGCAAUGGGCGAAAGCCUGACGGAGCAACGCCGCGUGAGUGAUGAAGGUCUUCGGAUCGUAAAACUCUGUUAUUAGGGAAGAACAAAUGUGUAAGUAACUAUGCACGUCUUGACGGUACCUAAUCAGAAAGCCACGGCUAACUACGUG
rnacentral:rRNA from 1 species